GAGUUUGAUUCUGGCUCAGCGCGAACGUUGGCGGCGUGCCUAACACAUGCAAGUCGUGGGGCAGCAGGCUACUGUCUUUUGGCAGUAGUGCUGGCGACCGGCAAACGGGUGAGUAACACGUAGCUUACCUACCCAUAGGUUGGGGAUAACAUCCCGAAAGGAGUGCUAAUACCCAAUAAUGAGGAGACUCCAAAGCCCUUAUGGGUGCCUAUGGAUGGGGCUGCGUCCCAUCAGCUUGUUGGUGAGGUAAUGGCUCACCAAGGCUACGACGGGUAACCGGUCUGAGAGGAUGACCGGUCACAGUGGGACUGAGACACGGCCCGCACCCCUACGGGGGGCAGCAGUGGAGAAUAUUGGGCAAUGGCUGAAAGGCUGACCCAGCAACGCCGCGUGGUGGAUGAAGCCCUUCGGGGUGUAAACACCUUUUCUGGUGGAAGAUAAUGACGGUACCCCAGGAAUAAGGGACGGCUAACUACGUGCCAGCAGCCGCGGUAAUACGU
rnacentral:rRNA from 1 species